rnacentral:rRNA from 1 species
UGACCUCGGAUCAGGUGGGGAUACCCGCUG